AUGCUGGUUUUGGCAGCAUAUAUGCUGAAAAAGUUGAAUAAUACAGAGAGGAUUAGCGUGGCCCCUGUUCAAGGAUGGCAUGCAAAUUUGUGAAGCAUUCCAUAUUUUU
ensembl:snRNA U6 U6 spliceosomal RNA